rnacentral:rRNA from 1 species
CCUGCAGUCGAGCGGUAGAGAGAAGCUUGCUUCUCUUGAGAGCGGCGGACGGGUGAGUAAUGCCUAGGAAUCUGCCUGGUAGUGGGGGAUAACGUUCGGAAACGGACGCUAAUACCGCAUACGUCCUACGGGAGAAAGCAGGGGACCUUCGGGCCUUGCGCUAUCAGAUGAGCCUAGGUCGGAUUAGCUAGUUGGUGAGGUAAUGGCUCACCAAGGCGACGAUCCGUAACUGGUCUGAGAGGAUGAUCAGUCACACUGGAACUGAGACACGGUCCAGACUCCUACGGGAGGCAGCAGUGGGGAAUAUUGGACAAUGGGCGAAAGCCUGAUCCAGCCAUGCCGCGUGUGUGAAGAAGGUCUUCGGAUUGUAAAGCACUUUAAGUUGGGAGGAAGGGUUGUAGAUUAAUACUCUGCAAUUUUGACGUUACCGACAGAAUAAGCACCGGCUAACUCUGUGCCAGCAGCCGCGGUAAUACAGAGGGUGCAAGCGUUAAUCGGAAUUACUGGGCGUAAAGCGCGCGUAGGUGGUUUGUUAAGUUGGAUGUGAAAUCCCCGGGCUCAACCUGGGAACUGCAUUCAAAACUGACUGACUAGAGUAUGGUAGAGGGUGGUGGAAUUUCCUGUGUAGCGGUGAAAUGCGUAGAUAUAGGAAGGAACACCAGUGGCGAAGGCGACCACCUGGACUAAUACUGACACUGAGGUGCGAAAGCGUGGGGAGCAAACAGGAUUAGAUACCCUGGUAGUCCACGCCGUANACGAUGUCAACUAGCCGUUGGAAGCCUUGAGCUUUUAGUGGCGCAGCUAACGCAU